AGCAGCCGCGGUAAUUCCAGCUCCAAUAGCGUAUAUUAAAGUUGUUGCAGUUAAAAAGCUCGUAGUUGAAUUUCGGGGUUAGUAGGUUGGUCAUGCCUCUGGUAUGUACUGGUCUCACUGAUUCCUCCUUCCUGAUGAACCUUAAUGCCAUUAAUUUGGUGUUUUGGGGAAUUUGGACUGUUACUUUGAAAAAUUAGAGUGUUUAAAGCAAGCUAACGCUUGAAUACAUUAGCAUGGAAUAAUGAAAUAGGACGUUCGAUCCUAUUUUGUUGGUUUCUAGGAUUGACGUAAUGAUUAAUAGGGAUAGUUGGGGGCAUUAGUAUUCAAUUGUCAGAGGUGAAAUUCUUGGAUUUAUUGAAGACUAACUACUGCGAAAGCAUUUGCCAAGGAUGUUUUCAUUAAUCAAGAACGAAAGUUAGGGGAUCGAAGACGAUCAGAUACCGUCGUAGUCUUAACCAUAAACUAUGCCGACUAGGGAUCGGAUGAUGUUAAUUUUUAAUGACUCA
rnacentral:rRNA from 1 species